UACAGAGGUCCCAAGCGUUGUUCGGAUUCACUGGGCGUAAAGGGUGCGUAGGUGGUCGGGUAAGUCUGAUGUGAAAUCUCCGAGCUUAACUCGGAAAUGGCAUUGGAUACUAUCCGGCUAGAGGAUUGGAGGGGGGACUGGAAUUCUCGGUGUAGCAGUGAAAUGCGUAGAUAUCAAGUGGAACACCAGUGGCGAAGGCGAGUCCCUGGACGACUCCUGACACUGAGGCACGAAAGCUAGGGGAGCAAACAGG
rnacentral:rRNA from 1 species